UACAGAGGGGGCAAGCGUUGUUCGGAAUUACUGGGCGUAAAGGGCGCGUAGGUGGCCUUCUAAGUUGAACGUGAAAUCCCUGGGCUCAACCCAGGAACUGCGUCCAAGACUGGGAGGCUUGAAUCCGGGAGAGGGAUGCGGAAUUCCAGGUGUAGCGGUGAAAUGCGUAGAUAUCUGGAGGAACACCGGUGGCGAAGGCGACAUCCUGGACCGGUAUUGACGCUGAGGCGCGAAAGCCAGGGGAGCAAACGGG
rnacentral:rRNA from 1 species